rnacentral:tRNA from 1 species
GCAGUAUUAGCUCUAUGGUAGAGCUCCCGCUUCGUAUGCGGGGAAGAGCUGGGUUCGAUUCCCGGCUGCU